rnacentral:rRNA from 1 species
CUAGUAAUCGCGCAUCAGCCAUGGCGCGGUGAAUACGUUCCCGGGCCUUGUACACACCGCCCGUCAAGCCAUGGGAGCCGGGGGCGCCUGAAGUCCGGGACCGCGAGGACCGGCCUAGGGCGAAACUGGUGACGUGGGGCUAAGUCGUAACAAGGUACC